UUGUGGGCAGUGAAAACUGAGAUUUUCCUAACUAUACAGGUAGCCGAUAUUGGAAUCCAUUCAGAAAUAUCUUUGGCCACGGCUCUGCAAGCUUGAUCAAGAAACUUUAUAUGAGCUUCAUUACCAUAUGAUAACCUUUGGAAAGGUCUUUUGUACAAAAAGCAAACCAAAUUGUAAUGCAUG